rnacentral:rRNA from 1 species
AACGAACGCUGGCGGCAUGCCUAACACAUGCAAGUCGAACGCGACCUUCUGGUCUAUUUGCGCACGGGAGCGUCACCGGUGGGAACCUUCCCGUAUGUUCGGACUAACUCCCCGCGAGGGGUGCUAAUACCAGAUAAUUUCUUCGGCCGAAUGAUGUAUUGGCUUAGGAUGGGCCCGUUUUGAAUUAGCUAUUUGGUCAGUUAAAAGUCUACCCAGGCUACGAUCCAUAGCUGGUCUGAGAGGAUGACCCGCCACACUGGGAGAGGGACCAGGCCCAGACUCCUACGGAAGGAAGCAGGGCGGAACAUGGGACGAUGGGCGAAAGAAUGAGCCAGCAAUGCCGCGUGAGUGAUGAAGGCCUGAGGGUUGUAAAGCUCUUUUAACCGGGAAGAUAAUGACAGUACCGGGAGAAUAAGCGACGGCUAACUCCGUG